CGGAGUCAGAAGACCGCCACAUCCCAUGAAGACAGCUGGUCUCUUCUCCAAACUAUUUUUCAUUUGGAUGUUUGACUUCUUCCGUCGGGGCUACAAGAGACCUCUUGUUGAAACAGACUUGUAUGACGUUCUGCCUGACGACUCCGCUGGAGUCGUGGUUGGUAAACUCGAGAGGGAGUGGAAUAAAGAAAUUAAGAAAAGCGAAGCCACAGGAAGGCCUCCGUCUCUUCGAUGGGCGUUGGUUAGAGCUUUGGCUGGCA